UACAAUGUGUCUUGGUGUGGUCCUCUUAGUGUUGAUCCUGUUUGGGACUCUAUGUGCUUCCUGGACCUGGAUGUCAGUUUCCUUUCCCAGGUUGUUUACAUUUCCCAUCCUUGGAGAAGUGGCCUUUUGUAGGAGACGUCCUAUGUAUCUCAGCAGCACACUCCUCUCUCUGGUCACCAGAGCUGUAUGCUCUAGGGGUGCCCACUAUUUGGGCUGAAUGUUGUGGCAGACUGACUGCUGUGGGCCAUCUGGUGUCACAUGAGUGUCCCAAGUUCUCCAGCCUUCAGGAGUCACCCUUUCCUUGAACAUCCACUGAAUAUCAGCUCCCAGACCUGCAGGAAAUCCAUUCAAGAGCCCAGUACAUGCUGGAUUGCUGUGAGCAUUUAAUGAGAUAAACCAUGAAAAGCACAUGUCCAGCACCUACUAAGUGCUCUGUAAAAAGGGUCCCCUCAUGGGAAGAGCUGGGGGGCACUGGACCACCUGCACAAGAAUCCACUGAAGGACUCGAUAAACAUGCAGACACCCCAGUACCCCUGAGAGUGUGGGCCAGGAAUCUACUUGAUUAACCAGCAGCAGUGUGACCAGUUGUCUACUUGUCUACGUUCCUUCCAAGACAUGGCCAGUAGAUGGCGGUGCAGUGUGCACUUUCAAUGCAGCUUCUGAAUUUCUGGAAAGAUCUCCCUGUGAAACUUCCUGUGAAUUCAAGUUAACAUCCACCAGGAGAGCUUGGCUGCUUAAGCUGCUCUCCCCUCCUGUCCCUUCGGAGUGACUUCUCUUUUUUUUUUUUUUUUUUUUUUGCGGUACGCGGGCCUCUCACUGCUGUGGCCUCUCCCAUUGCGGAGCACAGGCUCCGGACGCGCAGGCUCAGCGGCCAUGGCUCACGGGCCCAGCCGCUCCGCGGCAUGUGGGAUCUUCCUGGACCAGGGCACGAACCCGGAUCCCCUGCAUCGGCAGGCGGACUCUCAACCACUGCGCCACCAGGGAAGCCCUAGAGUGACUUCUCUUGAUGCCCCAGGACCUCAAAGUGGUCAGAACUCCCUUGGAGGUUCCUAAACUCCUCGAGGUGAGAGACCCCUCUUUCUGAAGAGCUAGCCAAGCAACUGUAAAAUGUAAAAUCAUAAUACCCCAACUAGCAUUUACUGAGAACUUACUGUGUGACUAGCAAGACUCUCACCUUCUCAUUUAACUCUCACAGCUACCCCGGAGAAGGAGAUUGUUAACCUUCCCACAGUCACACAGCAAGUUCCCAUCACUACCUCCUGUUUCCGUCUUGGCUGGAACUUGUGCUUGAGUCAGAGUUGCAGACGGGGAGCAAUAAUGUCUGUGUCUCUGGCCCAGGCUCUGAGAGCUUGGGGAGCAUCCUGAGAAAGGAGGGGAUGCCCUUCCCUGCCUUGGGGGCCAGGGUGACUGGGCAGGGAGCUGCAAGGGACAGACGCUGGGUCAGUCCCACUGUUAAGGGGGCUUCAACUGAUUAGGGAGGCAGACACGACAUGGGUCACAGCACAUAGAGGGCCAGUGGGCAGGCUGUCUAGAGACUCUGAGAGGCUGGAGGGACUGGGGGACUUUCAAAGACUGGGGGUGAAACUGCACAACUCAGAUUGGGAUUUGAACCCAUGGGCCGGGACUCGAACCUGGCCAAAACCCAGACGGGGACUUGAAUCCACUGUCUUUUAAUUAAAAUCACAUAUCUGGUCUCAGGACCUACUGAAGUUCAGGGUCUUUAUGUCUCAGCAAUUCAGUGAGAGACAAAGCAAUAGGUAAAAAGUGGAUUUACUUAGAGGGAUACACAUUCCAUAGAUGGAGUAUGGUGUGUCUCGAAAGGCGAGAGUGGCCCUGGGAGAAACACCCUCCACGGACAGAGCGUGGGCCAUCUUAGAAGGUGAGAGGCCCCGAAAUAUGGGCGGUUAGUUUUUAUGGUCUGGGUAAUUUCAUAGGCUAAUGAGUGGGAGGAUUAUUCCAACUAUCUUGGAGAAGGGGUGGAGAUUUCCAGGAAUUGGGGCACCGCCCACUUUUUGGCCUUUUAUGGUUAGUCUCAGAACUGUCAUGGCCCUGGUGUCAUUUAGCAUAUGCUAAUGUAUUACAGUGAGCAUAAAAUGAAGCUCAAGGUAUACUGGAAGUCGAAUCUUCUGCCAUCUUGGACCUAGUUGGUUCUAACCAGUUUAUGUCACAUCCAGAGGCUAUGUCAUUCUUUUAAAGGUUGUGCCUUGCCCCCUUCCCACCUGUUUCAGGGGGACACUGUGGGACAUUCAGUCUGUGUAAUGCUCAUAAUAGAGCAAAUCAUACUUGUUGAAUUUGUUUCCGCUUAUUUAAUCCUUUUCUAAGAGGACUGAGGGGAUUUUCAAGGGAAGGGAUCCAUGGUAUCAGGGAGGAUGGUGUGAAAUGAGCCUGGAGACGUGGACAGGUAAGAAUGUUCACCUGGAGAUGUGGGAAGGUGGGGAUUUUCACCAAUGGGUGUGGUCAAGGGAAAUGUCCUAGAAAGCAGAGAAGUUUGACUGGAGAUCUGGAAGGCAUCCUUAUCAAUAUGUACUUCUGUUGAGGUCAAAGCUGCACAUUGUUUAUGCAAGACCUCAACUCCCCUUCUUUGUUGUUAGCAGAACCCUGGAUUAGUUGAAGUGGCCACCUGCCCAGCUAAAGAGCUACAUUUCCCAGCACUGACAGCUAGUCCUGGCUAAUGAGAUGUGAGCCAACAAAGCUGGGCUGGUGUAUUAGUCUGGAUUCAAUCAGGAGAGAAAAACCACAUGGUAAUUUGAAUAGGGAAAGUGUAAUAUAAAGAAUUAUUGACUAUAACAGAGGAUUGAAGUAAUGAGGGGUUGCCUAGUAAGAGGUAAAGAGAACUCUGAAGAAUACAGGUGAAGUAGCAGAUAUAAGGAGCAGUCAUGACUCUCAGGGCUGAGAAAGAGCUUUCCCUCCCCUAUGCCCUCCCCCCAGUGCUGAGGUCCAGACUUUGUUGGAUUGGGCACAGCUAUGGUUCACUGAACAGCAGAGAAGUUACUGAGGUCUGCCCUAGUGGAACUUGCCAGGAAACUGCCCUCUAUCAUACAAGGGAAAGCUAUCCUGAUACCACUGAGGUAUCUCAAUGGAAGCACUUGAAUACAAAAUUGCCAAAGGUGGGGGUGCUGGAGGAAGCUACCGGCCUUUCAGUGCUUCUGGCUGCUGUAGACUAUAGGAACAGGUGCUGGAGCAGCUGCCUGCUCUGUAGGAGGCUGCUGAGUGACCCACCUGAACCAGGAAAGGGUGGGCUCUUGGAAAAGCCCUCUAAAAGGGAUUAGAUUUGGCUAGUUUGUCCCUUUUGCACUUGGAUCUUCCCUUUCUUCCUGCAUCCUGGAUCCAGAAUGAAGAGGACUUGGCACAGAGCUGCAACUGACAUGUCACGAGCAGGAGAAGAAAGAAAAAAGAACAAAAUGGGAAGAAGAAAGAGAAGGUAAAAUAGUAAAGAAAAAGCAAAAAUAAUUUGAGAAUACUGUGUUUAUAGACAGCUCAACUGACUCCUUGGUAUUGCUCAGGAAAAUAAGAGGAAUAUUAUUAAACCAGAGCAGCCUGGUUUCUGCUUAUCUAGAAGCCACUUCGAAUUGCCUGUGGGAGACACAAUAGAGAGAAUCUCUCUGUCCUCAAGACAUAUGAUUGAAGCCAUUGUGCUCUCUCUCAAAGGCAUCUUAACAUGCCUUGUCUGUCCUCAUCAGCAAGCACAUGGGCUUCCUGCUGAACUCUAGUUUCAGAAUGACCUUUGAGGUGUCCCCAAGGAUCCAUAAAGUUAAUAGCUUUGAUUUUGAGUCAGACACUUCAGCACACAGUCUCUCAAUUUAGUGUGGAUCCAGCUAUUGGCUUUCAUAGAACGUGGCAAGAGACAGAAGCAAUUGGCUUUGAUGGGUAUGAGGAGGAAAAGGUGGCAGAGUGAAAGUCCCGCUGACCCUCUCCAGCACCUUUCAGGUGAACAACAGCAGCAGGAGAGACAAAUUGAUGGAGCAAGUAACAGAAGCACGUGUCAUCUGAAAUGAAUGUGGCAGAGUUGAGCAAAUUGGCAAGAGUACCUUCCAGACGCACAGAGAUAUCUCUAACACAUUUAAGGAAGACAUGGAGAGUCCCUGCCUAUCUCCUGGAUAUUAAGUAGGUACAGAUUUCCUAGAAGUAAGUAAGAGGGUCUGGAAGGGUCUGGCCAACAUCUUUACUUGGAAAGAUGAGAAAUCAGAGCAAAAGAGGACUCAAGAGUGUUAGGGAAGGUCACACCUUGCGACUGUCUUCAAGCCCCGGGUUGAUGGGAACCAGGGCUGUAAGGAUGACCCUGUAACUUUACCACCCUUGUAAUUCUCCGAGCUGGGCUCCUAUAUCAAGCCAAGGGCAAGGUGAGGAGAGAGAGGUGAGAAUCAGACUCUGAUAUCACCCUUGUACAGUGCCAGCUGAACAGAGAUGAAUCAGCUCAACCACACUGGCUAAAGGGCUUUACCAAGAGCCACAGGUCACAAAGGGAUAUAGAGGAUCCGAAUCAAAUAAUGAAUCAGGUUGAUAUUAGUGAUAAUACGGCAUCGUGCAAACAAAUGGAUAUGUAAACAGCGAAUAUGUCUCCCAUUGAAACACCCGUGAUAAUAGUACAAAACUUGACCAUGGCUAUAAAGAAAAUAUCAGUAAUUUUCCCCCAAGUAGAAAUAGUAGAGACUUCUUUGACCACCAAGUAAUAAAACCAGAAAUUAAAAAGUAGAAAUGAGACAAAAACCCAACCAUAUGGAAAAAUUAAACCCCCUCCUCAGGACUUCCCUGGUGGUGCAGUGGUUAAGACUCUGCACUCCCAAUGCAGGGGGUCUGGGUUUGAUCCCUGGUAAGGGAAGUAGAUCCCACAUGCGUGCGGCAGCUAAGGGUUUGCAUGCCACAACAAAGGAGCCAGGGAGCUGCAACUAAGGGGCCCGCAUGCCGCAACUAAGACCCAGUGCAACUAAAUAAAUAAAUAAAUAAAAUAUUUUUAAAAACCCUCCUCAAAAUUUAUUUACUCAUUUUAAAAUCAAAGUAUAGUUGAUUUACAGUGUUGUGUUAAUUACUGCUAUACAACAAAAUGAUUCAGUUAUACACAUGUAUACAUUCUUUUUAAAAAUAUUCUUUUCCAUUAUGGUUUAACAUAGGGUAUUGACUAUAGUUCUCUGUGCUAUACAGUAGGACCUUGUUGUUUAUCCAUUCUCUAUAUAAAAGCUUAUCUGCUAACCCUAACCUCCCACUCCAUCCCUCCCCCAACCCCCUUCCCUUGGCAACCACCAGUCUGUUCUCUAUGUCCAUGAUUCUGUUUCAGUUUCAUAGAUAAGUUCAUUGGUGUCAUACUUUAGAUUCCAGCUAUAGGUGAUAUCAUAUAAGUUUUGUCUUUCUCUUUCUGACUUACUUCACUUAGUAUGAUAAUCUCUAGUUGCACCCCCUCCUCAAAUUUUAAAACUCCAUUUGAGAACAAAAGAAAGUCAGAAUUGUAAGUUCAAACAAGAUUGGAAAACAAAGAUGAAAACACUAUGUGUCUAAAACAAUGAGAUACAGCUAAAACCAUUAUGGGAGGGACUUCCUUGGUGGCCCAGUGCAUAAGAAUUCCGCUUGCCAAUGCAGGGGACAUGGGUUUGAUCCCUGGUCUGGAAGAUCCCACAUGCCACAGAGCAACUAAGCCUGUGUGCCACAACUACUGAGCCUGCGCUCUAGAGCCCUUGAGCCGCAGCUACUGAGGCCCGCGCACUUAGAGCCGGUUCUCUGCAACAAGAGAAGCCACCGCAAUGAGAAGCCCACGCACUGGAACAAAGAGUAGCCCCUGCUCGCUUCAACUAGAGAAAGCCCACGCACAGCAAUGGAGACCCAACGCAGACAAAAGUAAAUAAAAUAAAAUAAAAUAACAUUAUGAGAGGGAAAUUUCUUCUUAAACACUUAUAUUUCUGAAAAAGAAAAAAGAAAGACAAAUAUAAAUGAAUCAAGCAUUCAAAGCUGGAAGAUACAAAAUGAGCAACAAAAUACAUCUAAGGAAACGGCUUCCCUGGUGGCGCAGU